rnacentral:lncRNA from 1 species
CUUACAACCCUCUGCUUUAAGGAGCUCCAACUACACUGAAAUAUGAAAAUACCAUUUUAAUCAUGUGCAUUGUCCAAAAACAUAGAAAUGCCAGAGACUGAGAAGUGGGAAAGUGGCAUUCAGAGGCUGAAAAAACAAGAUGCUGCAACAAGAAUGAAGCAACACAUAUAACCUUUACUUUAAAUCAUAUACGGUAGUAAGAUUUUCCAAAAACAAAUAUUCAGUUUUGUUUGUAAUGUAACACGAAUCUCCAAGCCCAACAUCUGGAUAAAAUUUAUUUUCUUUGGAUUUUGGAAUUAGAGAAAGUUAGCCCAAACCCUUUAUGAGGUCACUUGGGAAAUCAAGAGAAGGGCUUCUAUGGUCAGAUUUCAACUCACAGUACAAAUAAUGAGGUUUUAAAGGUGCUUAUCGAUUAAAAAAAAAAAGAAAAGAAACCCUUCUUUAAACAGCCUAUUUUGGUUUUCUAAAAUAGUAUGUGUUUCGGUAGUCUCGAAAUCACCAAUGUCAAGAAAGAUUUUAUUCUCUCAGAGGCAUUUCAGUAAAGAAGUUUGACAUGAGCACAAAAUUGGUGAUGGAAAAUGUCUAUCUUUAGAUUUACCCAUUGGCAGCUACAUGUAUAUUUAAUUGAACAGGAGAAGGGAAUUGGAAAAAAAAAAAUGGUGAGCUCCCCACAUUUUCAAUAAGUAAGAUACAUUUUUCUUAAUUCUUAGAUGCUUAUUUCUAAAGCCAGGUGUUUUCUGAGCUAAGGUGACCACUGCAUAGGAAGGGCCCACUGAUCAACUGGCCAUAUCAAAUCAUUUAGCAUAAUCUCUCUCAGCCUCUGUGUGACACCCAUCUCUUCCCCUUUGGAUUCACUCAAGUUGGGUGCUUGGCUUUGUUUUCUGCUGUUUCAACAGGACCCCACAAGUUCCAUCUCUGCCACUUGCCAGAUCUUUGGGAAAUACGGAAACUUAUGAGUAAUGCAUUCAUGACAUGUUUUCUCUCGACAAAUUAAAUAUUUGCUAAGAUAAAGUGUAACAUCAUUGGUAAAUAUAGCACAAAAUGAGAGAAUCGGAGUCCCAGCAGGGAACAUCUUAGUUAGAUUUGAACUCCAGGGGGCCUUAGUCACCCCCAAGGUCAGUGCUCUGGCCAAUCUCAAUGUUUGUUUAUAUCCUUGAGAACGAAAGAUAAGGGCAUGAACUCUGUGAGGUCAUUUAUAUUGGGGAAAGGGGACCCUCCCAAGUGUCGGCUCUCCAGCCAUGUCUGGAUCCAGAAAAGUAAAUAAGUAAAUAAAAUAGUUUUUAAAAAGAAAAAAAAAAAAAAUCUCAAAAAUGACAGCCCUUGCUUUUCACACUGCCUCACUUCACGUGAUUUUAAAUGAUGCCUUUCCAAACCCUCAUUUUAAUGGGGAGAGGCUCCAGUGCUGUCUAAGGUAGGAACGUGAAGCAGAAAUGAAGUCGCUCGUGCACGUGAAUGUGGAAGAUGGACCUGGGUGUGAGAAAGGGACUUUUCAUCUGCCUUAUGCAUCUUUUCUUUUUUACUCAUCCACGCACCACUCACCAUAUCUUUACUGAGCCUCAUCUCAUUCACAGAGUUGUGCUGGGCACUGCAGGGACACGGGGAUGAAUGCGAGGAUGGAUCCCACACACCUAGAAUGUACUAAGCGAAACUUAGCCUUUCCACGAAUAAAUAUGAUUAAAAAUUGGAGGCGAAAAGUGUCCAAAGAGACUCAGAUAGGAUGCUAGGAGGCUGGCUUAGGCAAGUGAACUUCUUGGCAGUGGAAAGAACUGUGGCUGUGGAAUCAAAAAGAUCCAAGGCUCCCUUGUUCUCUGGACUUGAGAGAUACCGAGCGACGUAUAUCACCUCUCUGUGUCUCAGUUUCCCCACCAGAAAAAAAAUUGCUCAACAAAUGGCAUGUCUCCCGCCUCAGCUUUCCAUCUUCUCCACAAAGCUGUUUUAAGUAUUCUCGACUCUUGAAAGCUCCAGCUCACUACUCUUCCCCUCCCUCGAGGUGGAUGACCUCAAUUCCCAUCCCUCAGAGAAAACGGAAUCCGGAAUCCGUCAGCUGGAAAACCCACUCCACUUCCUGCCACCAGCCUACACACCUAACAGUCUCCAAGCUCAUCACACGCCCUCUGUCCUCACACAGAAGCAUGGUUUCAUGUAUUAAGAAAAGCCAAAGCAUCGCUCUCUGCUCUAGAUCUCAUCAACCUCACCACUUCUCUCCCAGAGACUUUAUUAUUCCCUUGCUGCUCUCCUUCAUCUUCAAAAGCUCCUCCUUGCUGCCUAAGGCUCAUCACUUCUAAAACCAUAGAGGUCUCGAUGAUCUCAAAAGCAACAGAAACUAAAACCUCCCUCAAUACCCCUGAGAGGUUCCCAGGAGGAUGGAGACAGAGCCCCACCCCCCGAAUGUGACCUUGGAGAUCUGCUGGGGACACGGGUACAGCCCAGCUCGAGAUCUGCACCCUUUCCCACCAUGUGGAGCAUCGAUGAACCACCGACAAGGAUUCACUGCCCUCUGUCACGGGACCCCACCCCCUCCCCCUCCCUUGACCUUCCCCUCCUCCUCCUCCUUCUUCGUCAUUCCUGCCACACGUUGCCGCCAAGAACUCCAGCCACAGAUCCUCUACAAGCUUAGCACCUCCUCACAGUCGGGGCUGGCGCCAUCCUGAGCUCAGCCCGUGCCCCUCUGAUGCCUUAACAAAUCUCUCCUGCUUUACCCACCAGGCCUUGUGUGUUCCUCCCUCGGCAAACCUAACAACGCCCUCAGCACUCUCUUUCUACAAAUCUGGGUUCUCUGCUGUGUUGCCUCUAACUAGGGGUAGUUACAUAAAAUUAAUUAGAACUAAAUAAAAUUUUUAAACUCAGUUGCUCCGUGGCACGAGCCGUAUCUUAGAUGGCAAAUGACAAGAGGACAGGGCAGAUUUAGAUCUUUGCCACCCACUGGUAAACUCCAUUGCUAGAUUUUUGUAUUCUUUCCACUCCUCCGCCUUCUGGAAACUUUCCCCAUGUUAUCUGACAUCUCCUUCUUCCUCCUCUUUAUGCCUCAACUCACAGCUGUCUGACUUGUCCCCACUGCCGUACAGUGUGGUCAACCCCCUCCCCCAACAAUGCAAAUCCACACACGUGUCUCAGACCUUCAUCUUUCUGACCACUCAGGAGUUUAAGAUCAGUGACAGCUACUUAAAAUAUCCUUGGAGUUCCCAUUGUGGCUCAGGGGCUUAUGAAUUCGACUAGUAUCCAUGAGGAUGUGGGUUCAAUCCCUGGCCUCGCUCAGUGGGUUGGGGAUCUGGCAUUGCCGUGAGCUGUGGUGUGGAUCACAGACACAGCUCAGAUCAGAGCAGAGGCCAGCACCUGCAGCUCCAAUUCAACCCCUAGCCUGAGAACUUCCAUCAUGUGGAAGUUCUCAGGCCAGGGAUCAAACCCAUGCCACAACAGUGACCCAAGCCACUUCAGUGACAAUGCCAGAUCCUUAACCUGCUUGGCCACCAGGGAUCUCCUUCUCCCACUUUAUAAAAUGUCAAAAAACAACAGCCCUUCUUUUUUCACACUGCAGUGGCCUUUGUGGACUUCUGUCUCUGCCCUACACAGAAAUGCACAUGUCCCUCUCUGCUGUCUGUGCAGGUGUGGAGAGCAGUCACAGCUCACAGUGACCUGAAGGAAAGGCUGAUCUCCCACAUGUCGUACGGCAGCCCUCCUAAGACUUCAGGCUGAAUCUACACACGUGGAACACGCUGACAGGUAAGACUAUCCCUCACACGUUCCUGAGCUUUAUGAUCUACCAUGACGUCACAUUUUUACAUGUUCAGUCUGUGAAGUCCCCAAGCCCAUUCUUGCCCCUGGUAGCAGGAGGCAGGUCCUCCUUUGUCCAGCGGUUCCUCCCUACCACGUGAGAAAUCCCAGCACUGCUAACACCUGUCUUUGUUGCUUGUUGCCCUCAGCCAGAGGUGUCUCCAAGUCCAAUCUCAAGAAACUGUGGGCUGCGGAGAGCAGGCCUGUCUCCCGCCAAGUUGCACUGCAACCUACAGAGUGACCUCUUUGUCAUCACCACCAUGUCAACUCCUGGCAGUGGGCCACUCAGAUGCUCAUCUGAAACUGAGAGCUCCAUGGCCAAUAACAACCCCAGAGUUUUUAAAAAUAAAUUAAGAUGUGGAGUUAUGUCUAACUUGGUUAGUGUGGCCAGGAGAAGUUGAUUUAUCUCCUGCAAUCACAGUUCAUUUUUCCCACGUGUCGGACUCUUUUAGCCACCCC